ACCACAUGUGUGCCUAGUGCCAAUGGAGGCCAGAGAGGGAGCUGUAUGUCACAGAACUAGAGUUAUAAAUGGUUGUAAGCCACCACGUGGGUUCUCUGGAAAAGUAGCCAGUGCUCAUAACUGCUGAGCAAUCUCUUCAUUCCAGGGGCCUUUCUUACAAAACGAGAGUGAAGCUGAUCGAUAACAAAGCUUUUAAUUAACUGCCUUUCUGGAGUGCACCCAGGACUCUACACUGAGUUCUGGUGAUAACAGGCAGACUCCUAUCACUCCGACUCACAGGAACAAAAAGUCAAGUAGAUGUCUUUCCUCCAUCCUCCUGGCCUGCUCCUUCUGCCCCUUUCUUCUCUUCUCUCUGCAACUACUGCUAUUGGCUCGCUGACCCGGUCCUUCCAUAUGCACAGCUGGCUGGAGGCCUGCACUGGGGCUUGGAUCUCUCUUCCCAAUACUCAGCAUCGUCUACUUGCUUUUGACUCUAACUCAGGUUCAAGGGCAGUCUUUUCUGAGAGUAGUCCCAGCACCAUGGCUUGUUGAGUCUCUCCAGCUCCAUAUGCUGACCUCACUUUGGCCUAAGGUCCCUGGGAUGACCUCUGUAAAUGUGGUUUGUACCCAGGCUAUGUAUUCAAUUUUGUUUAAUUUCGUUUAUGGGAUAGGGUCAAGUAGGAGAACAAAAAUAUACACUCUUAGAUCACAUAUGCUAUUUGUGUUGCUCAAAAUUCUUUCCCCAAACUUUAAGUUAUAAUAGGUUUGCCAAAUAUCACUUAGUUUUUAAUAUACAGUUAGCUAUGGAGGGAUGGGAGGUGGUAGAGAGGUUCAGAGUAUGCUACCUUAAAAUAAGUUUCCUUCUCAUAUUAUUUUGACCC
rnacentral:lncRNA from 1 species